rnacentral:rRNA from 1 species
GCAAGUCGAGCGGAAACGAAGAGGUGCUUGCACCUCUGGCGUCGAGCGGCGGACGGGUGAGUAAUGCUUGGGAAUAUGCCUUAUGGUGGGGGACAACAGUUGGAAACGACUGCUAAUACCGCAUAAUGUCUACGGACCAAAGUGGGGGACCUUCGGGCCUCACGCCAUAAGAUUAGCCCAAGUGGGAUUAGCUAGUUGGUGAGGUAAUGGCUCACCAAGGCGACGAUCCCUAGCUGGUUUGAGAGGAUGAUCAGCCACACUGGGACUGAGACACGGCCCAGACUCCUACGGGAGGCAGCAGUGGGGAAUAUUGCACAAUGGGCGCAAGCUUGAUGCAGCCAUGCCGCGUGUGUGAAGAAGGCCUUCGGGUUGUAAAGCACUUUCAGUAAGGAGGAAAGGUUAAGUGUUAAUAGCACUUAGCUGUGACGUUACUUACAGAAGAAGCACCGGCUAACUCCGUGCCAGCAGCCGCGGUAAUACGGAGGGUGCGAGCGUUAAUCGGAAUUACUGGGCGUAAAGCGUACGCAGGCGGUUUGUUAAGCGAGAUGUGAAAGCCCCGGGCUCAAACUGGGAACUGCAUUUCGAACUGGCAAACUAGAGUGUGAUAGAGGG